rnacentral:lncRNA from 1 species
GGUGUCGUGAAUGUGGGCUCGAGGCACUUUCCCGUGCGCACUUUGCGCUUUCUCCUACAAAAACAACAAAAACAAGAGAGAGAAACAUUGAGUGCAGCUUCAGGGUUGAAACCACGCUGUGACGGCUGAUGUAGUUCAGGUGGGUGUGUCCCUGAACGCAGCAGACUGCCCCUUGCCUCAGACUGCUUGGCACGACACCAGAUUUACACAAAUCAAGUUUCCAGCAGCUUCAGGAGGGUCAGUUGUGAGUUAUUCAACAGAAAUGUCUCACAUUCUUCUUCUUCUUCUUCUGACUUUUGAGACUGCGGCAUUAGAAGGUCACACAGAGAUAAAAGUGAGGUCUGGACAAGAUGUCACUCUUCACUGUCAGGAUCCCAGUGGUGUAAAUAUCACCCUGUUAGAGUGGAGCAUACCUGAGAUUAAGAGAGACGGAUACGUCUUCUUCUACCGAAACGGGCGCACAUCCGAAAACUACCAGCAUGUGCGUUUUAAAGGCCGAGUGGAGCUGACAGACCCGUCUAUGAAAAACGGAGAUGUUUCUGUGACUCUGAAGAAUGUCAACAUCAACGAUACAGGAAUAUAUGAGUGUCGGAUUAGAACCAGUGAUCUCAGCAGCGGUCAGAGAGUCCAGAGUGAGUCUAGGAAGUCCAUCAACCUCACAGUCAUAGACUCUGACAUCUGCUGUUGCUCAUUUUCUUGUGUGUGAUUAUACCAGCCGAGUGCAUUUUACAUGUUUGAAGUCCCCGGACUAACCUGGACUGUCACGGAUUUCAGAGUUUUGAAUGUGGUGGCGCAGUGAACCGAGAAAAAGGCAAAGAGCUGAUAGCCAGAGGCUCUGAGGCCGACACAGAUGUUGGACAUGGGAACUGUUUAAAC